GAAGUACUCCCUCCGUUCGGAAUUACUCGUCCAAAAAAUGAAUGUAUCUAGAUGUAUUUUAGUUGUAGAUACAUCCAUUUUUGUGACAAGUAAUUUCGAACGGAGGGAGUAGCUU
rnacentral:pre_miRNA from 1 species